GCCUGCUUAGAUCAGAGGAGGUUAGAGCGUCGCACUUGUAAUGCGAUGGUCAUCGGUUCGAUCCCGAUAGCUGGCU
rnacentral:tRNA from 1 species